GUUAAAUUAAAAAUAAUAAAUAGAAGAGAUUAAAUGUUAUAUCAUUAAAUUUAAAAGAUUUGGCGGUACUUAUUAUUUAGAGGAACCUGUAUAGUAAUUGAUAGUCCACGAUAAGAACUACUUAAAAUAAAAUUUAUGUAUUGCUGUUUAUAGUGUUUAAUUAAUUUAGAUUAUUUAAUUUAUAAUAAUUAAAUAAUUCAAGUCAAAAUAUAGUUUUUUUAAGAUUAAUAUGGGUUACAUUAAAAUAGAUUAAUUUAGUUGAAUUAAAAAAUUUAAUUUUUUUAUGAAAAUGGAUUUAAAAGUAAAAUUAAUUAAUUAAUUAAUUUGAAUUAAAGGUUAAGUAUGU
rnacentral:rRNA from 1 species